UCGAAGAGAAUGCACUUCGUUGGCUACAAGUAUCACAGAGUCCUGAAGUUCUGCUUCUUCGUGAUGGGACUGACAUCGUACAAACCAACGCACUUAAGAGUAGUGCAUACUACGAUCGUAUAUUUGACACUUCUUCUCGGUUCAACAUUUUUCGUGCUCUCCCUCGACAGCAAGACUUGCACCUUUCAGUUGUCUUCAUUGCGAAUAAACGUUGCAAUUUUAAUAGCACAUGUAAAUAUAACAUAUGGUUUGUUACUUGUAAAAUCUAUAAACAUGGAGGAAUGGUUAAGGGAUAUGAAACGUGAUUGGAAUUGUAUACAAGACAAAGAAGAAUUUAAAAUACUUAAAACACAUGUAGCGAUGGAAAAUCGUUAUAUAAAUAUUUAUUUAAGUAAGAAGUAAAUUAAUCGUCGUAUAAGACGGCAAGGAAACGUAUAACGAUAAUACUUUACGAUGCAUUGCAGUUAUAAUUUGUUCCAGUUGUUUCGUUAUUGUUGUAAUGCUGUCUUUUCCAUAUCGCAUUCUCGGGAUUUCAAUAUCUAACCAAACUCUGUGCUAUUUACCGAUUACACUAACGCUUCUGAAAAAAUCUCGAAAUUAUUAUUUGAGUGUCAUUUUGACGCACAUUAUAAAUAUUUUGAUUGCAACAGUUUUUUACUGUCGUGACAUUUCCUUUUUACUGACUAUUUUGCAUACACGUGGACUGUACAAAAUUGCUACUUACCAAAUGGAAAAUGCCAUGAAUGGAAAUUCGAUAGAAAUGAAGAAGGAUACCGUAAUACGUA